UCUCCGAUAGCUCAGUGGUAGAGCAGUCGGCUGUUAACCGUCUGGUCGUAGGUUCAAGUCCUACUCGGAGAG
rnacentral:tRNA from 1 species